AAAUAUACUUACUUUUUCUUUGCUUUUGUUUACUAUCAACAUGCAAAAAUUCUAUACUGCUGCCAAGUAAAUGAAGAGUUAAAAUAAAAUUAAUCCUUGCAACUACCCCAAGAAGUAUUAUUAUUGUCCCAUUUUAUGGGUGAGGGACCCAGAACCCGGACAAAGACCUCACAUUCAAUACUCUUUUCCAGGUAUCUGGCCACACACUGCUUGACUCUAACCCAGAAAAGCUGGGCAUAAGGAAAGGCACAGGCCACACGUGAGCCACUGACAGUCAGAUGAGGGCCCAGUUCCAGGAGCCGCGACAAUAUGAGAAGCCAGGCGCUCCCAGGCCCCUACCCGAGCCGCGGAGGCAGGUGACGCAGGUCCCGUGGCCCCCACUGGGGCGCGUAAGGCUGCGGCGGUGCCGGUAAAUCGCUUGAGGCCCCGCGACUGUCUCUAGCAGACUUUGGCGGAACGGAAGUGACCCUAGUCCGCGGAGCCUCGGUACUGGGCGCAGUCCCGGAACCCCUCUGUCCUCUUCCUGCGCGCUGCGCUCGCCGCGGCCCCCCGGGGCUCUCCACACCCUGCAAGCCGCCCGGCUUCUCCGCGCCCGCGCGCUGCGCUGCCGGCGGCGAACAGGUGCUUGCCAGCCUGCACACCCUGGCCCCGAGCCGUGCAGCUGGACAGGGUCUCUCAGAAGCUCUAGGGCUUGAAUUUACCCCGAGGAAACAGGGUGCGGCAUUCCCCUGCACAGCCUCACCAUGUGUGGGGGACAGAUCGAGAAGUACGUGGCUGCCAUGGUGCUGAGUGCAGCUGGAGAUGCCUUGGGAUACUUCAAUGGGAAGUGGGAGUUUCUCGACAAUGGGGAAAAGAUUCACCAGCAGUUGGCCCAGCUGGGUGGCUUGGACACCAUAGAUGUGGAGAGGUGGAGAGUGAGCGACGACACGGUGAUGCACCUGGCCACCGCAGAGGCUCUCAUCGAAGCCGGGAAGGUUGUAGACUUGGCUCGAUUGUAUCGACUCCUUGCUAAGCAUUACCAAGACUGCAUGGGAGACAUGGAUGGCCGGGCACCAGGGGACACCUCAAAGCACUAUGCCAUGCUCCUGGAGCCAGACAAGGCCAAUGGCUGGAAGAUUCCCUUUAACAGCCAUGGGGGCGGCUGUGGGGCUGCCAUGCGGGCCAUGUGCAUCGGUCUCAGGUUCCCUCACCACAGCCAGCUGGGCAUGCUGGUCCAAGUGAGCAUCGAGAGUGGCAGAAUGACCCACCACCACCCCACAGGCUACCUGGGAGCCCUUGUGUCUGCUCUUUUCACAGCCUAUGCUGUGAGCAGCAAGCCUCCCUGGCAAUGGGGAAAAGGACUGUUGGAGGUGCUACCUGAAGCUAAAAAGUACAUUGUCCAAUCAGGUCACUUUGUGGAGAAGAAUCUUCAACACUGGUCCUACUUCCAAGAUAAAUGGGAAAAGUACCUAAAACUUCGAGGGAUUUUAGAUGGCAAAUCAGCUCCAACCUUCCCCCAGCCCUUUGAUGUGAAGGAGAGGGAUCAGUUCUACAGCUCUGUGAGCUACUCCGGCUGGGGUGGCAGCAGUGGGCACGACGCCCCCAUCAUUGCCUACGAUGCUGUCCUGGCUGCAGGAGACUCCUGGAAGGAGCUCGCUCACCGAGCCUUUUUUCACGGCGGAGACAGUGAUUCCACAGCUGUCAUUGCUGCCUGCUGGUGGGGAGUAAUCUAUGGGUUUAAAGGCGGUAAAUUCUUACUCAGAUCAGGUGGAGCCUCCUGGGUGAAGGUUUGGGCACUUGGCUGCUUUCUCCCCACCACACCCAGAGCCUUCUGUCAGCCUAGUCACCACACUGCUCAUGUUGUGUGGGGACGUGCAUGUCUGGGGGGCGAUUGCAGACCCCUCAUGAGGGAUUGCAUCUUCUUCUCUUUGUGGCCUCCCUGUCUGACCCCCGAGAGACAUUUAAUAAAUAUUUACUUUGGAAGUUCAUCAAAUUGUGUUGAUGUGAGGGCUUUUGAUGUGCAGUUUGGCAUCUGUCUCAUGCGUCCUCUACUGGCUGCCAGGAGUGACCUGUCAUGCGCCAUAAGACGUGGAGGGCUUGAUGCUUUAACCAUGCCUGUGUGCUGACCUGCAUGAGAGAAAGCUCUUUACUCCAUUUGAAGAGGGACACCAGGAAAAGCAUGGGAUGAAAAUUCUUUUACACAUAAAAGGAGAAGGAAAUUCCAAAGCACUUUUUGUGGCUCAAAAAACUUUCAUAUGUAUUUCAGAAAACAAACAUGUUUUAAAUAUGACAACCAGGAUAACAGAUUCUUCAGCAAGAUAGCCAAAGAGAAUUGCAGACUUUUAGGAGUGGUGGGUUACAAUUCACAGAACACGUUAGUAACCUCUCAUAUUCCCAUGUCUUAAAAUACUCCUUUGUCUUAACCUGUGGGAUCUGACAAUAUCUCCAGGUAGAGAGUGUCAGAAUUGAGUUAAAUUGUAGGACACCCUGCUGGUGCCCCAGAGAACUGGUGGGGGAAGGCCGCUCACAACUGGUGUCAGAAGUGUUAUGAGUAUGGCAGUGGUGUGAGAGUCAGGAGACACACAGGAGGAAAAAAUGGCCCUUUAUAAAACACUAACUGACCUGUGUGUCACUCUAGUGGAUGAAGACGUCGUCACUAGUGGUAGUUUUUCCAGUUCAAGUCCCUGUUCUGCAAUUAACUAGCUGUGUAACUCUGGACAAGUGAUCUAACCUCACUUUACCUCUGUUUCUAAAUGUGUACAAUGGGGCUAAUAGUAUUACCUAUACUUUGUGGAGUUAUUUCUUGGAUUACAUAGAAUAAAAGCUGAUAUAAUAAGCACUCAAACUAAAGGGUGGGAGACAUGUCAACAUAUACUAUGUAUGUAUUACAGAUAACUUCAGAAAAAGUGUAUCUGGUGUCUUUCCAUUAGUCAUGAAAUGGAGGCCCAGGGAAGAUCCCAGAUGGAUCACUUCCAGCCAGUUUCCUGCACCACUGGGGAGACACAACCCAGGGGAACCCUGGGGUUUCCUCUGACAUUAAUAUUCUCGUGGAACCACCUUGCAGUACUGCACACCCAGUGAUGAGCCUCAAGGUUCACAAAUUCUUCCAAGUCAGGAGAUCUCAGGGAACAAACAUUAAACCAUAGAAUUUUAGUAUCAAACUGUCAUUUAAAAAGCUACAAUUUUCAGUUUCUCUCAACACUUGGAGGCUUGGACACACCUGUGGGGAAUAUGGCUUCUCUGUUCUGGAAAAACCACGUGUGGUCUUUUGUCUGGGCAAAUAUAAAGCAGACUCUACCUCUUUUUUGGGAAAACAAGAGACAGAAUAUGGCUGGGUUUGAUUGAUUUUUUUAAAAAUUGAAGUAUAGUUGAUGUACAAUAUUAUAUUUGUUUCAAGUAUACAACAGUGAUUUGAUGCAACAGCCAUCUAUAUUAUUAAAUGUUUAUCCCAACUAGUAUAGUUAAUAUCUGUCAACACAGAAAGAUGUUACAGAACUAUUGACUAUAUUCUCUAUGCUGUACUCUCAUCCCUGUGACUAAUUUAUAGUUGAUUGAGAAUUUGUGCCUCUUUAUUCCUGUUGCCUAUUCCAUCCACCUACUCCAAACCCUCUGCCAUGGUAACCACCAGUCACUUCUCAGUGUCUAUGAGUCUAUUGCUGUUUUGUUUUUAGAUUCCACAUAUAAGUGAAACCAUAUGGUAUUUGUCUUUUCCACCUGGCUUAUUUCACUGAGCAUAUUACUCUUUAGGUCCAUCCAUGUUGUCACAAAUGUCAGGAUUUCUUUAUUUUUUAUGGCUAAAUAAUAUUCCACUGUGUAUAUGUACCACAUCUUCUUUAUCCAUUCCUCUUUUGAUGGACACUUUGGUUGCUUAGAUGGUUUUUACAUGAAAGCAAAAAUUAUGAGUCUUGGAAAACAAAUGUCAUGAAAUACUCUCUUUACCUGUAAGAAUUUAGAUUGUCUUAUGCUCAUAUACCACAGCUUAUUGUGAGAAGGUGUGUGUGCAUGUGUGUGUGUAGCAUCAGGAGUAAAGGAUCCAAAAUCA